rnacentral:rRNA from 1 species
GAUGAACGCUAGCUACAGGCUUAACACAUGCAAGUCGAGGGGUAACAAGCGGAAAGCUUGCUCUUAUUGCUGACGACCGGCUCACUGGCGAGUAACGCGCAUCCAACCUGCUUAUAACUCGGGAAUAUCCUUGCGAAAGUAAGACUAAUACCCUAUGACUCUCUUUGAUGGCAUCAGAGUAGGUAUAAAGUGUUAUCGUUUAUAGAAGGGGAUGCGUCUGAUUAGCUAGUUGGCGGGGUAACGGCCAACCAAGGCAACGAUCAGGAGGGGUGCGGAGAGGAAGGUCCCCCACAUUGGAACUGAGACACGGUCCAAACUCCUACGGGGGGCAGCAGUAAGGAAUAUUGGUCAAUGGGCGCAAGCCUGAACCAGCCAUGCCGCGUGAAGGAUGACGGUCCUAUGGAUUGUAAACUGCUUUUGUACAGGAAGAAACACUCCUUCGUGAAGGAACUUGACGGUACUGUAAGAAUAAGGAUCGGCUAACUCCGUGCCAGCCGCCACCGUAA